rnacentral:rRNA from 1 species
CCUACGGGAGGCAGCAGUGAGGAAUAUUGGUCAAUGGCCGGAAGGCUGAACCAGCCAUGCCGCGUGAAGGUCAGUGCCCUAUGGGCGUUAAACUUCUUUUGUGCGGGAGCAAUAAUGGUCACGUGUGGCCAUACGAGAGUGCCGUACGCAUGAGCAUCGGCUAACUCCGUGCCAGCAGCCGCGGUAAUACGGGGGAUGCAAGCGUUAUCCGGAUUUAUUGGGUUUAAAGGGUGCGUAGGCUGUGAGUUAAGUCAGCGGUGAAAUGCCCCCGCGCAACGGGGUGAAGUGCCAUUGAUACUGGCUUGCUGGAAUGAGGAUGAGGUGGGAGGAAUGUGUGGUGUAGCGGUGAAAUGCAUAGAUAUCACACAGAACACCGAUUGCGAAGGCAUCUUACGAAGCCGAGAUUGACGCUGAGGCACGAAAGCGUGGGUAGCAAACAGGAUUAGAUACCCGUGUAGUC